GCUCAGAGUAUAAGCCAAUGGAGCUUGGAAGGCUUCCGCAGAUGGUGUCCAUCAUACGUGGUGUUCUUAAGACCUUGAGUGUGGCUCGUGAAGCGAAGCAUUGAGUUUGCCGACCAGCUGUCGUGCGGGGGGUUCAGCUUGGAAGGGUUGGGUUUCGGUCCAACAGUUUUCCUUCUGUCCCCUUUUGAAUGGACGUUCAGAGCUCUUGGUCUAAUGCGGUUAUGCCCACCACAGCACGUUGUGAGGUCACCCACAGGCUCAAACUGCCGAUCGCGCAUCCAGGACGAUGGCAACGAUGCGUUGUCGAUGAUGGCUCGAGAGAGACUUCACUCACACGCGUGUCUAGUCCUGGGUCGGGCGGCGACCGAGAUAAACCUGGUACGAUCCUCUUGCGACGAGCUGCUUUCUGGCCAGACCGACGCCCAGACGCCUCCACUGUGCCGGAAGCGUCAACCCCAGGCGGUGUGAACCCAGCUGCAUUAUGCAAGGUCUCUCAGCCGGGCGUUGGUCUGAGUGGUGUUAAGUCCAGCACCAUCGGUCACGUCUCGAAACACGGGCCAAGGAGUAUAGCAUGUGUGCAAGUCUAAGGGUCUCACAAAACCCGAAGGCGAAGUGAAAGCAAGACUGUGGCGGGGGAGCUACGGCAAACCCGCCGGCCUAGUGGCGCGUGCGUCGCCUGGCUUUUAGCAGAGCUGAUCCUGUUUUCUCGGUUAAUUCUUGGUGCAGGCGCAAGCUCCGGGCUCACGUACAACACUGGUCACGCCUCGCG
rnacentral:rRNA from 1 species